AGGAUUGUGGAUACAUCUAAAAACUGCUUAUGGGGAAGCCUGCUUCUUAACAUUUGACACAUGCUAUCUGCUCUACUGAGACAGCUAGAAGAAGAUGCUCUCCCACCACAGAACAGAAGACUGGAGACAGGAGAAGAGGGUCUGCUGCAAGCCAACUUGUUCCAUUUCCUUUAUGUUGCACUCAAGAUCUGUGGUGUACAGGUUUCCAACGUGUGGUUACUUUGACUUUACUCUGAAAUAUCCCUUACAAGAAUUCCAUGGCAAUGUUACCUUGACGAAAACAAAUGUCCAAGAUCUUAAAUCACAUGGUAUGUACUGUAGCAGGCAGUGCUGGGCUAUGCUGAAGGACAAGAAAGACAUCUUUACAGAUACAGAUCUUUUUUAUGUUCCAGUGUUUAUUUCUCUAACCCCAUCUGGAAACAAAAGAAAAUAAACUCAGGCAACAACAUCUGUUGCUCCUGCUGCUCUGAAUUAAGCUAACUUAGUUUAAUCAUUUCACAAAAUCAAACACUAUUGCUCUACCUUUCCAGGUGUUUUCCUGACUCAUAGACUGACACUUCAGUUUGGCUCACUAGUUCUUCUCAUAAACUAUUCAAAUCUUAUUAAUUACCAUGAAAUCUAGACAACCUUUAAUUUCUCUUUUGGCAGAAAGAAGUAUACAGUCUACUGUGGAUGCUCUACUUAAAAUAAAAAAUAAAUAAAUAAAUAAAUAAAUAAAAAG
rnacentral:lncRNA from 1 species